rnacentral:rRNA from 1 species
AUUGAACGCUGGCGGAAUGCUUUACACAUGCAAGUCGAACGGAUUUAAGGAGCUUGCUCUUUAAGUUAGUGGCGAACGGGUGAGUAAUAUAUCGGAACGUACCGUGUAAUGGGGGAUAACGUAGCGAAAGUUACGCUAAUACCGCAUACGCUCUUCGGAGGAAAGCAGGGGAUCUUCGGACCUUGCGUUAUACGAGCGGCCGAUAUCUGAUUAGCUAGUUGGUGAGGUAAAGGCUCACCAAGGCGACGAUCAGUAGCGGGUCUGAGAGGAUGAUCCGCCACACUGGGACUGAGACACGGCCCAGACUCCUACGGGAGGCAGCAGUGGGGAAUUUUGGACAGUGGGCGAAAGCCUGAUCCAGCCAUUCCGCGUGAGUGAAGAAGGCCUUCGGGUUGUAAAGCUCUUUUGUCAGGGAGGAAAUCCCUAAGGCUAAUAUCCUUGGGGGAUGACAGUACCUGAAGAAUAAGCACCGGCUAACUACGUGCCAGCAGCCGCAGUAA